rnacentral:misc_RNA from 1 species
AAUUCGUCCGUUUGAGAAGAAUAUUUCGAGCGGACGGACGUUCCAUUCGAGUGUCAGGCGAGGGAGAAAGAGAGAGAUUGGCGCGAUGACAACGUUGAAGAAGGACGAGAAGAGGGCUUCUUCGAAGAAAUCGAAGAAGAGCGGCGAGAAGGCGUCCGCUCGGAGCGCGAAGACGGCGAAGCAACAAAGUGCGAAGAAAAGUGAGCCGAAAGUGCAAGCAGAGAAUUGGUACGAGGAUCUAGCGGGCUACGACAACGACCUCUACGGCGAAGAUGCGAAAUGCGGGACGGAGGGGGAUACGGGGAAGGUGGGCGGGAAAAUCGAGCGAAAAUCGUUCCGUCGGAAAAUCGGGUUGCUGUUGAGAGGGAGCGCGGCGGAGUUACCGGCCGUGAUAAAUCGCAGCCUGCAACCGAUUAGGCGCAGCCUAAGUUUCAGCAAGGACUUGAACCGUCUCCAGGAGCCGUCGAAGCCUCACAGGGUGAGCGGCGCGUAUUGGUACAACAGUUUGGUGUCGUUGGCGGAGGAUGAAUGUCUGGACGAGUAUGACGACAGCCCGUCAGAAAACAGUCCAACGAUCGAGAAACGGCUGUUCUCACCGAAGGUUCAAGUCAUCAGGACGCAAAGCCUCAUCGACACUACUUUCACGAGAAGCCCGAGAAGACGAGUGACCGAACUGCUCAAGCGAACUGCCCCUUAUGGACGACACAGCGACCAUUACGACUCGACCAUAGAUUUAAGUAAUCCACCGUUCGAGGCCACUAGCCUUCCCGCUCUCGCGCACACGGAUGGAAGCUGCAACGAGCUAAGAUUCCCCCUUGAAGGGGAGCAACAGGUCAGGAACGAAUGGAGGAACCUGAAAGUUCCUGUCGGUCGAAAUCUGUCUUCCCUACAUGUCGGCCCCGUCGACCAUCGAGAGGUGCGUUCGAGGUCGUUGACCCAGCUGGACGCUCUGGGCAGCAAAAUGCUGGACACGGGGGAGCACCAUCUGGGGGGUGGUCCCUCGCAACAGCAAUCCCAUCACCUUCACCACCAUUAUCAACCUCAACAACAAUUGCAACACCCCCAAAAUGUGGAGAGUAAUCCUCGUUUCCUUGCGCCCACCGCGCCUUCCGUCGAGGGAUCGCGUCAGAAUCGCAGGCACAAACUGUCUCGGUCACAGGUAUCCAGCAGCGAGUUUUUCAGCGUCAGCUUCGACCUCUCGGACGAUUCGAGUGGCCUGGAUCGGGACGAGUUUCUGCCUGCUGCUAAAGGCACUUACUUGGCCGAGGCGAUCAACGCCGCUUGCGAGAGGCGCGGGAUCGACAUCUCGCGGAUCGAGGUCUUCGACGGCUUCUCGCCGCCAUUACCGAUCCUCACCACGGACACCUCGAGCCUUGGCGGCAAGCAUUUGCGAAUAACAGUUAAGGACAACGAAAAAUCCAACUCGAGAUCGUCGAGCCAGAGAAGCAACCAGAGCAUCUCCUUGAGAAAGCCAAGCGGGAAUUAUCGGAGCCGCAGCAGUCGUUUCUUCAGCGUCUCGACGGAAGACUCGAGCGUUGACUCCGAAGUAGGAAGCAGCACCACGCUCACAUCCGGUCGGAGCUCCGUUGGGGCUGCGGGGCUCAAACCUAGUAAACAGCGAUGGAGCGGCUUCUUCACGAACACGAAGGGAACAAAGAUUGAUCUGCUCACCUCUCUGCUGGACGAUUAUGACAAGCAUGGCGUACCCAAGGAUACGCAAUUGUCGUACGAGCUCGCCUUCAACGAAGAUGCCUUGUACUUAGAACACGAUUGGCGCGACAUCGUUCAAAACUCGGAUCAAUUAUCGGAAAAACAACAGCAACAACAGACCGCUUUAUGGGAACUGGCUCAAACGGAAGUGGCUUAUAUCAAGACUUUAAAGGUUGUCACAGACCUGUUUAUGGCGUGCCUCUGCAGCCUGCAGGCCUCGAAUAUCCUGAACGAGGUCGACAGGACGAGGCUCUUCAGUAACAUCCCCGAGAUCUACGCCGCGAACCGCUACUUCUGGACCGAGUACGUCCUAGCCAUGGUAAAUACGUCGAGGAGCACUGGACAACCGCUCGAACCAGGCCACCUUCUGCAAGGUUUCGAGACGUUCGAGCAAACCUUCGCACCCUACACCAGAUAUUGCGCGGAGCAGAGCAAAUGUCAGCAAUACUGCAGAGACCGUUUGAACGAUAAUCAAUUAUUCACGGUCUAUCUGGUGUGGUGUGAGACUCAGAAGGAUUGCAAUCGAUUGAAACUGCUCGACAUACUGGUGAAACCUAUGCAGAGGCUGACGAAGUAUUCUCUGCUCUUGAAGGCUGUUCACAAGAACACGGAGAACGAGGAGCAGCGGGCGGAAUUGACUCAUAUGAUCAAAUCUGUAGACGACUUCGUGGCGUCUGUGAAUGCAGCAUUGAGGAGGAAGGAGGAGACGGCGCGGUUGGCCAGCGCUGCGUCUCGAAUAGAAUGUUACGACGUGGUCGAGUCCAGAGACGAAGAAUUGGAGAAACUGAUUAAAAUUCACAGCACGUUUGAUAUUACCACGGUUCCAAUACCUGGUUGUCCCAAAGACACCCUUAGAGUACUUCUUCGAGAGGGAGAUUUAAAAUUAAGAGACGCAGUUAGCAGCAAGAUGGAAGUACACGUAUUGCUGCUGACAGACAUGCUAUUGAUCUGCAAACCGUCGACCAAGAAAACUUCCAGUGGGCUGACUGGCACCGUGGGGGGCGGUUUGAAGAUUAUAAGACAACCGUACGUAAUCGAUCGUAUCCGAAUACACGAGCUGAAGGAGCCAAGCAGUUUAGGCUUGGUUUAUCUGAACGAGUAUGGGGCGGCAUCAGCUGCUCUGGUUCUCAGCGCCGGAGAAUCGAAAUUGGCCAAGUCUUGGAUGGAAUCGAUCAGGAAAGCUCAACAACAAUUUGCUCUAAUGAAAGUGCCGCCGCUUGGCAACACGAUGAACUUGACCACGGUCAGUAGACAACACAGCAGUUUCCUCGGUGACGAGUACGAACAAGAGGAAUGCGAGGGAAUCCCAAAAACGCCUCGAGGAAGUAGCCGGGCGUCAAGAGUAAGCAGCCUGGCCCACAGUCACAGUCAUGAAACCGGUUCCAGCGGAAGUAUAGAGAUGGAAGGGGUUUCGCCAGGGAGCAGCACUUUUCUGCCUAGCUAUAACCCGAGCAGAAAUAUCAGCGUGGAGACGAGCGAACCACCGCGAGCUUCGAGCGUUUCGUCGGAGGAGGGUGGCGACAGUUCUGGCCACAACCAUGCACGACCGUUUCAAAUAAGACGAUACCCGCUGAGUAAGUCACCGACGCCUAACACGUUGAGUGUCCAAGUGCCGGCGUACUCUAGCUUGGGCCAAUCGCUGCCAAACUUGACCCUAGCCACUUCGCCACAAACUUCAACCGUGUCUCCGACACCGCCAAACUCGCUUCUAAUCGUACCCCAAAUAACAAAAAGCAAGGACACUUUGCUUUCACCAGGGCACCGAGGUAGUAUCUCCUAUCCACCACCGUCACCCCCGAGAGGGGCGCUUAGAAGAGCGUUCGCGAUUCCUCAAUCACGAAAUCCACCUCUCGUUAAAACGAGACACAUAAGCACGUCUGUGACACAAACGAUUCAGCCUGCGAUGAAUCUAGACGCGGAAGCCAUUGAAGAGAGGCGAAGAAGGCUGGAACCUUCGCACAGGAUGCCAUCGACCAGCAGCAUCGCGGAGGAAAAGAAAUGACUAGAAUUGGGAUACAAGAGUAACUUACUAAGAAGAUAGAUUGCUAUGGACCAUCUACAUUUGAUGAUGAGGGAGUACGUUGAAUGAUACGUCAUGUUUAGAGAUAAGAUGUUGCUUUCUGUUGUCUGUAUGCAAGUGCUGCACACACUUUCAUGCAGGAUCAGAAAGAAAUGAUUCAAACGAUUGAGAAGGGAUUCAAAUUGAAUUUGAAAAAAACGUUUACGUACUCCUUAUGCCUACAAUAUGAAUCGAGCAAUUUUACAAUCGAUUGGGGCCAUUCGAAAUCAACGUGAAGUUUGUUAUUACGAUCGUAUCAUUGUAAUUUGAUUCUAGCGGUGUAACUUUUAGAUCUCAUUUUGUAAUUAAUUCGUCGGGUUGUGACGAUCACGUUUCAAUAUUACUCUAAUUCAUUCAGAAUCGACGAA